rnacentral:lncRNA from 1 species
GGGACUGUGACAGCAUCACAGCAGGACGAGUGCUCUGUGAUCCUCACGCACCAGGUGUCUCGGGAGCAGAGGAGGUGGCUCCGCACAAGGCCACGUGGCGCCGAUGUGACGGGGGAGGACGGCGAACGCCAGGCUCAUCAAGCUUUCCAAUUUGAGUCUUCAGAUAGAUGGACAGACCCACACAGGGGACAACAAAUCAACCGGCAAAUGAAGCAUUCAGCCAGCUUGGGAGUUCUGCUUUCCAUUUUAAAUUAAUACACUGGCCUUCUGGUUUGUACAUCGGUUGUCCUCCCAUGGGUCUGGCUGGCAGGCGUUGUUUUCUGAGGGGCU